GACGAACGCUGGCGGCGUGCUUAACACAUGCAAGUCGAACGGAAAGGCCCUACUUUUGUGGGGUGCUCGAGUGGCGAACGGGUGAGUAACACGUGAGUAACCUGCCCUUGACUUUGGGAUAACUUCAGGAAACUGGGGCUAAUACCGGAUAGGAGCUCCUGCUGCAUGGUGGGGGUCGGAAAGUUUCGGCGGUUGGGGAUGGACUCGCGGCUUAUCAGCUUGUUGGUGGGGGAGUGGCUUACCAAGGCUUUGACGGGUAGCCGGCCUGAGAGGGUGACCGGCCACAUUGGGACUGAGAUACGGCACAGAGUCCUACGGGAGGCAGCAGUGGGGAAUAUGGCACAAUGGGGGGAAGCCUGAUGCAGCAACGCCGCGUGCGGGAUGAAGGCCUUCGGGUUGUAAACCGCUUUCGCCUGUGACGAAGCGUGAGUGACGGUAAUGGGUAAAGAAGCACCGGCUAACUACGUG
rnacentral:rRNA from 1 species